rnacentral:sRNA from 1 species
ACUGGGCACGGUGGCGCAUGCCUGUAAUCCCAGCAGCUCAGGAGGUUAAGGCAGGAGGAUCGAAAGUUCAAAGCCAACCUCAGCAACUUAGUGAGGCUGUAAGCAACUCAGGGAGACCCUGACUCCA